ensembl:lncRNA
ACGAGGGCGUCGUGCCUUUAUAAGACUACGUUAAUGGCGUUAAUGUUUCCGUGGAGUUAUCCCUUUCAGUUGUUGUUUAUUGAUUGUUAAACAUGGCUUCAUUUGCAAAGGUGGUUGUGUGUUUCCUCAUUGCUUGUGUCUGUAAUUCAUUCUGUUUUGCGAAGAGAGAUGUGAACUUUAAGGCAUAUGCAGUUGACCGCCAAAGUGAUGUGGUUGUCACCACAACACCCAAUCCCCACAGCCAGACCACAUCUGCCCAUACUGAAGCUGGUGGUGGUGCAAGUGAAGAUGCUACCACCCUAGCACCAAAUCCCCAUAAACAAACUACAUCAGGCCACACUGCAGCUACUGAUGAUCCCAGUGAAGAUGCUUUGGCUACCACCCCAACACCACAUCCCCCAACUACAUCUGACCACACUGCAGCUACCGAUGAUCCAAGUGAAGAUGCUGUGGCUACCACCCCAACACCAAAUCCCCCAACUACAUCUGACCACCCUGCAGCUACCGAUGAUCCAAGUGAAGAUGCUUUGGCUACCACCCCAACACCACAUCCCCCAACUACAUCUGACCACACUGCAGCUACCGAUGAUCCAAGUGAAGAUGGUUUGGCUACCACCCCAACAUCACAUCCCCCAACUACAUCUGACCACACUGCAGCUACCGAUGAUGCAAGUGAGGGUGCUGUGGCUGUCCAAACUGGAACUACUGUAUCCCAUACGACUGAAGUCUGAUUCGACUGCUCCUCUGGUCACAAUGACCUGAGUCACUGUCUGGACUUUUUGCCUCUACAUGUUGACUGCAAUAAAGGACAGAUAAUUAUUAUUAUUA